UUGUGAAGGAAGUUGCCAAACACCUUGGAAAAGACAGCUGCCAGGUAAGCGCAUGGCUCAGAUGAAUGUGCUAAAAAAAAAAUGCACUAGGAAAUCCUGACCAGGGUGCAAUCAGUCACUGUUAAUGCUCCGUCCAGAAGAGAUUUGUAAGACUCAAGAGAUAUGGACUCAAGAAAGAGGGAUCCUCCAAGAGGUAGUAGAUAUCACUCUACUGGACCCAAAACUACAAAUCGAAGGAAACUCUUGGUGUCCUAAGUAUGUUCUGUGUAUUUCCUGGGUGUUUUCUUUUAAAAAUGUGUUUUUACUAGUUUUGAUUUUAGAGAGAGGAAAGGACACAGAGAGAGGAAUAGAAACAUCAAUGCUGAGAGAGAAUCAUUGAUUGGCUGCCUUCUGCACGCCCCUACUGGGGAUCAAACCCAAAACUCGGCAAGUGCCCUGACUGGGAAUCCAACCAUGAUCUCCUGAUUCAUGAGUUGAUGCUCAACCAUUGAGCCACACUAGCAGGGCACCUGGGUGUUUUUAUAGAUUCAUAGUAGUGAUGUAGUAGAAAGGUCUAAGAACUUGGAAGGAGAAAACAGAGGUUCCAGUCCUUCUGUGGCCACUUUUAAGUGCUGUGAUCUUACAUGAGUCAGUGAAUGUGAGUGUAUUUCUUCAUAGAGCCAUGGUAGGGGUUUAAAUGCAAUAAUUAUGCACUUAAUCAGUCCAAGUUUGCUGAAUCAGUACAUGACUUUUUGGGGGGUGGGAGACAUAAAAGGUAGAAAAUGAAAUGUAUGAAGGAGGUGGUGAAUAAAAUAGAUAAAGUAGAUUUAAGUAGAGCUAACUUUUCAAAUAAAAUAAAAUGUGUAAAGUCCUACUUUUUUGUCAUUUACAGAUUAAUAUGAGGAUAUCUGACUAAAAUAAAUUUAAGAACGCCCUACUUUUAUUUUUGCUUCUUUCAUAUUAUACUUGUUUUUUCAUACCAU